rnacentral:rRNA from 1 species
AGCCAACGCUGGCGGCAGGCCUAAUACAUGCCAGUCGAACGGUCUCUUCGGAGGCAGUGGCGGACGGGUGAGUAACGCGUGGGAACGUGCCCUUUGGUACGGAACAACUGAGGGAAACUUCAGCUAAUACCGUAUGUGCCCUUCGGGGGAAAGAUUUAUCGCCAUUGGAGCGGCCCGCGUUGGAUUAGAUAGUUGGUGGGGUAAUGGCCGAGCAAGGCGACGAUCCAUAGCUGGUCGGAGAGGUUGAUCAGCCACACUGGGACUGAGAUACGGCCCAGAUUCCUACGGAAGGAAGCAGUAGGGAAUCUUACGGAAUGAGCGAAAGCCUGUCGCAGCCAUGCCGCGUGAAUGAUGAAGGUCUUAGGAUUGUAAAAUUCUUUCACCGGGGACGAUAAUGACGGUACCCGGAGAAGAAGCCCCGGCUAACGUCGUGCCAGCAGCCGCCGCCG